rnacentral:rRNA from 1 species
GGGUCAGUAGGUUGGUCGUGCCACCGGGACGUACUGGUCUCACUGAUUCCUCCUUCCUGAAGAACCGUAAUGCCAUUAAUUUGGUGUUGCGGGGAAACAGGACUGUUACUUUGAAAAAAUUAGAGUGUUUAAAGCAGGCUAACGCUUGAAUACAUUAGCAUGGAAUAAUGAAAUAGGACGAUCGAUCCUAUUUUGUUGGCUUCUAGGAUUGACGUA